rnacentral:rRNA from 1 species
CUACGUGCCAGCAGCCGCGGUAAUACGGAAGGUCCGGGCGUUAUCCGGAUUUAUUGGGUUUAAAGGGAGCGUAGGCCGGGGAUUAAGUGUGUUGUGAAAUGUAGGCGCCCAACGUCUGACUUGCAGCGCAUACUGGUUCCCUUGAGUACGCGCAACGCCGGCGGAAUUCGUCGUGUAGCGGUGAAAUGCUUAGAUAUGACGAAGAACCCCGAUUGCGAAGGCAGCCGGCGGGAGCGCAACUGACGCUGAAGCUCGAAGGUGCGGGUAUCGAACAGGAUUAGAUACCCUGGUAGUCCGCACGGUAAACGAUGGAUGCCCGCUGUCGGCGCCUUGCGCCGGCGGCCAAGCGAAAGCGUUAAGCAUCCCACCUGGGGAGUACGCCGGCAACGGUGAAACUCAAAGGAAUUGACGGGGGCCCGCACAAGCGGAGGAACAUGUGGUUUAAUUCGAUGAUACGCGAGGAACCUUACCCGGGCUUGA